CCUCUUUCUACUGUGAUGUAUAAAUCAUUCCUCAUUUCACCAGGCAUGAUAAUAUUGGAAAAACCUAGUUUCCUUGUUAUGGAUACUCCAUGGGUAAACAUAGAUGUAUACUCUCUCCUGAUUUGUUCUAUGUCUCCAUGAAGCAACUGAAGAGAAACUGCCAGACCUGCAUUGGAGCCAGUCAAGUUGUAACGUGCAUUCAGCUUUUUAAUGAUAUUUUCAUGGAUCUGAUACCAGUCACUCUCUGUGUUGCACAUGUACACUUUUAAGAUGAGGUCAUCCUUUGAAUCUCCUGCCAGCAAAUCCGCGAUACUGAGGACCGCACAGCCAAAAGGCCGUCUGUAUUGUACGUUGCAGGCAUUUUUCUUUU
rnacentral:lncRNA from 1 species